GCCGCGUGUAUGAAGAAGGGGCCUUCGGGUUGUUUAGUACUUUCAGCGAGGAGGAAGGCGCCCUUAAGGUUAAUAACCUUGGCGAUUGACGUUAAACCCGCAGAAGAAGCACCGGCUAACUCCGUGCCAGCAGCUUAAGUAGAUGACCAGCCACACUUUGGAACUGAGACACGGUCCAGACUCCUACGGGAGGCA
rnacentral:rRNA from 1 species